rnacentral:rRNA from 1 species
UACGGAGGGUGCAAGCGUUAUCCGGAUUCACUGGGUUUAAAGGGUGCGUAGGUGGGUUGGUAAGUCAGUGGUGAAAUCUCCAGGCUUAACUUGGAAACUGCCAUUGAUACUAUCAAUCUUGAAUACCGUGGAGGUCAGCGGAAUAUGUCAUGUAGCGGUGAAAUGCUUAGAUAUGACAUAGAACACCAAUUGCGAAGGCAGCUGGCUACACGA